GACGAACGCUGGCGGCGUGCCUAAUACAUGCAAGUAGAACGCUGAAGGGGGAGCUUGCUUCUCUGGAUAAGUUGCGAACGGGUGAGAAACGCGUAGGUAACAUGCCUGGUAGCGGGGGGUAACUAUUGGAAACGAUAGCUCAUACAGCAUAAUAGUAGAUGUUGCAUGACAUUUACUUAAAAGGUGCAAUUUCAUCACUACCAGAUGGACCUGCGUUUUAUUAUCUCUUUGGUGGGGUAACGGGUCACCAAGGCGGAGAUACAUAGCCGACCUGAGAAGGGGAUCGGCCACAAUUGGAAUGAGGCACGGCCCAGACUCCUAAGGGAGGCAGCAGUAGGGAAUCUUCCGCAAUUGACGAAAGUCUGACCGAGCAACGCCGCGUGAGUGAAGAAGGGUUUCGGAUCGUAAAGCUCUGUUGUAAGAGAAGAACGAGUGUGAGAGUGGAAAGUUCACACUGUGAAGGUAUCUUACCAGAAAGGGACGGCUAACUACGUG
rnacentral:rRNA from 1 species